AUUGCAUGAAGGUCCAGUGU
rnacentral:misc_RNA from 1 species